rnacentral:rRNA from 1 species
AUUGAACGCUGGCGGCAGGCCUAACACAUGCAAGUCGAGCGGACGAACGGGGCUUUCUCCUGGAUGCAGCGGCGGACGGGUGGGUAAUGCCUACGAAGCUGCCUGGUCGAUAGGAAUAACGUCCGGUCACGAGAGCUAAUACAGCAUCGGUCCAGAUGGAGAAAGUCGGGGAUCUUCGGACCACACGCUAUCAGCUGAGCCUAGGUCGCAUUAGCUAGUUGGUGUGGUAACGGCCUACCAAGGCGACGAUCCGUAACUGGUCUGAGAGGGUGAUCAGCCACACUGGAACUGAGACACGGUCCAGACUCCUACGGGAGGCAGCAGUAGGGAAUCUUCCGCAAUGGGCGAAAGCCUGAUCCAGCCACGCCGCGUGUGUGAAGAAGGUCUUCGGAUUGUAAAGCUCUGUUAGUAGGGAAGAACAGCAGUGUGUUAAUCUAUGGCUGUCUUGACGUUACCAAAAGAGAAAGCCCCGGCUAACUUCGUG